UAUGUAUAUAAAUCAAUUGGAUCUUUAAUAUCAUUUUCUAACCAUUUGAUUUGAUUUCUUAGUUCUACAUUCCUCAAUGAAUUCACUUGUUUCCUAGAAAUGUGCGGAGCAUCAGUUUGAUUUUUUCAACCGUAAUGAUCCAACUGCAUUGGGAAUGAUUAAAGAAGCAGAUUGCCACAUUGGUGUCUUAUGUGCUUGCCAUAAUUUCAAUCUUCGAAGGCAGUGAAUUCAUGAAAGAAGGCUUAAUGUUCAUCGUGAACAUGAAAAAAAUCGAACCACUAAAAGUGAGAAGAUGUCAAAAAUAUUUGUGAUACCUUUUAGGUGAAAUGUAGGUUACAGAACCUAAUAUAUUGGGAGAAAGACACGUUUGUUGCACUGUUCAUCAAACACAACAAAAUCGCCCUCAGGAAUGGUUGUCCAAAGGGAAGCGACGAUGAAGUCGAUAUUCGUUUUGAAUUAUGUACUUGUGAUUUAGAACUAGAUUAUCUAGUUAAAUUUUUGCCUCAUACUACUGUGUGACAUUAAUUAAAUAUGUGGUAAAAUAUGUAUAUAAACUUAUUUCACAUAUGGUGAAUAAUGUUGUCCUUUUGUCUUUUGUACGUAUUUUUGAAUUUGUACUUAAAACUUUGAA